CCUACGGGGGGCUGCAGUAGGGAAUAUUGCUCAAUGGGCGAAACCCUGAAGCAGCAACGCCGCGUGGAGGAUGAAGGUUUUCGGAUUGUAAACCCCUUUUGUUGGAGAAGAUAAUGACGGGAUUUAUCGCAUAAGCACCGGCUAACUCCGUGCCAGCAGCCGCGGUAAUACGGAGGGGGCAAGCGUUACUCGGAAUCACGGGGCGUAAAGAGCGCGUAGGCGGGAUAGCAAGUCAGAUGUGAAAUCCUAGGGCUUAACCAUAGAACUGCAUUUGAAACUGGUAGUCUAGAGUAUGGGAGAGGUAGGUGGAAUUCUUGGUGUAGGGGUAAAAUCCGUAGAGAUCAAGAGGAAUACUCAUUGCGAAGGCGACCUGCUGGAACAUGACUGACGCUGAGGCGCGAAAGCGUGGGGAGCAAACAGGAUUAGAUACCCUUGUAGUC
rnacentral:rRNA from 1 species